CGAAUGGCAGUCCAGGCGAUUUUCGAAGUGUCUCUCGGCACACGAGGCGAUUUCCGGAGAGAGUGAACGGCAAUCUAGGCGACUUUCACAGCACUCAAGGUAAGAUACCGUUCGGUACCCCUCUAAAUUUUUUUUAUUAUACGUCUGUCCAUGGCAUAGGCUAGCCGAUCGUUAAGUAGGAUCUUCCUUCGGUAGUCUAGUGGCCAUAGGUAGAGAUGUA
rnacentral:lncRNA from 1 species